ACGAGAAAGUUCCUUCGGGAGCGAUUAAAGUGGCGCACGGGUGAGUAACGCGUAGACAAUCUGCCCUUCAGUCUGGGACAACUUUUCGAAAGGAGAGCUAAUACCGGAUAACAAUGUUUAACAUAAGUUAAGUAUUUGAAAGCUUUAUGUGCUGAAGGAGGGGUCUGCGUCCCAUUAGCUAGUUGGUAAGGUAAAGGCUUACCAAGGCAACGAUGGGUAGCGGGUUUGAGAGGACGAUCCGCCACACUGGAACUGAGACACGGUCCAGACUCCUACGGGAGGCAGCAGUGGGGAAUAUUGC
rnacentral:rRNA from 1 species